GUAGAAAACACAUCACAAUGAAAGCAACAGCUGCAAGCCUGCACCCGCGGCCGACAGUGAAAUUCGCGUUGGAUGGUUGGCGUAAAUUUGAUAUUGAGACUCUCUCGUUAGGCAAUGCGUUCAUCAAUUGCCCCAUAUGCCUUGCAUACAACCGCGGCUCGAUACUGACAAUGAAGUUUGACAAUAAAUCAAGUUAACGUUAUUUUGAGAAUCAACAAUCAACAUGCUACCCUCGUACUAGCUACUUGUAGAUCGUUGUGCAUCAAUACAUUUUAGUUUUUAAUAACAUAUAAGUGCCUAAAUGAUUUGGUUCCAGUAUAUCUAAGUGAUUAUUUUGUUAACAGCAGAAGAUUAAAAAUAUCGAGAUAAAGAUAUAAAGAGAUCAUCGUUUAUCAUGUUACUAAUUAUUAAACCUUUCCAAAAAACCUUUGCAUUUUCGUACACAGAGUCCUUGAUUUGAAUCCGGUUUUGCCUUAUUUCGAGUCCGG